rnacentral:rRNA from 1 species
CAUGCAAGUCGAACGGCAGCACGGGAGCAAUCCUGGUGGCGAGUGGCGAACGGGUGAGUAAUACAUCGGAACGUGUCCAGUAGUGGGGGAUAGCCCGGCGAAAGCCGGAUUAAUACCGCAUACGACCUAUGGGUGAAAGCGGGGGAUCGCAAGACCUCGCGCUAUUGGAGCGGCCGAUGUCAGAUUAGGUAGUUGGUGGGGUAAAGGCCUACCAAGCCUACGAUCUGUAGCUGGUCUGAGAGGACGACCAGCCACACUGGGACUGAGACACGGCCCAGACUCCUACGGGAGGCAGCAGUGGGGAAUUUUGGACAAUGGGGGCAACCCUGAUCCAGCCAUGCCGCGUGCGGGAAGAAGGCCUUCGGGUUGUAAACCGCUUUUGUCAGGGAAGAAAUCCUUUGGGUUAAUACCUCGGAGGGAUGACGGUACCUGAAGAAUAAGCACCGGCUAACUACGUGCCAGCAGCCGCGGUAAUACGUAGGGUGCAAGCGUUAAUCGGAAUUACUGGGCGUAAAGCGUGCGCAGGCAGUUAUGCAAGACAGAUGUGAAAUCCCCGGGCUCAACCUGGGAACUGCAUUUGUGACUGCAUAGCUAGAGUACGGUAGAGGGAGAUGGAAUUCCGCGUGUAGCAGUGAAAUGCGUAGAUAUGCGGAGGAACACCGAUGGCGAAGGCAGUCUCCUGGACCUGUACUGACGCUCAUGCACGAAAGCGUGGGGAGCAAACAGG